AUUUUCAGGCUCCAAUAUUCAUGCUUGAAUUGCUGGCAAAACAGAUCUUUUCCGGGAAAAUUGGCAACAAUAUUUAACAACGUUUAACAAUCAGACAAUGGACCACUGACACUUAAGCCAAAUGCAAUGGCGGCUGAGCCCCACCCAAGCAUCCUUGACUGUUCUGGGCAGCCAUGUGGGGCAUGCGGAUUAAUGAUGAGAACAUCUUGUUGCUUCCUUUUGUCUGUUCCUCCAUUAUUUUUCCUACUAGCACCUAUUCAUCGCCCACUGUGUGCCAGGCACUGAGCAAGCCCUUUGCUGGAAACAGGCAUCCCAGUGUCUUUGUGAAUGAGCAACCUGAAAGCACGCUUAGUCCAGGUCCCUGCAUGUCUGACAGGUUCCUUUGCUGGGCCACAGGAUCCUUUUGUGAGACCAUGUGUCAGUCUGUAAUGUGCUGCUUCUUGACAGGUGAUAUGCUGAGUACUGAAUGUAGUGUCUACAAAUGAGGGACCAAUAUUUCUGUCCAGUGAAUGCAUGAAGUAUACUCAGAGGCAAGGUUGCUGCCUGCGUAACUAACUUUUCAUAGCUUUGGAAAUGACAUGCAGCAGGUGAGGUGUCUCAGCAGGUAAAGGUUCUUGUUGAUAAGCAUGACGACCUUUGACAGAUUCCCCAGGACCCAAAACGUGAAAGAUGAGAAUCGACUUCUGAAAAUUGUUCUCUGACCUCCACCCAUUCAUACUCCAAUAAAAGUGAAUGUAACAAUUUUUUUCAAGAUG
rnacentral:lncRNA from 1 species